rnacentral:rRNA from 2 species
UACAGAGGGUGCGAGCGUUGUCCGGAAUCACUGGGCGUAAAGGGCGCGUAGGUGGUUUGCUAAGCGUGUGGUGAAAGCCCGGGGCUCAACCCCGGGUCUGCCGUGCGGACUGGCAAACUUGAGCAGAGUAGAGGCGAGUGGAAUUCCGGGUGUAGCGGUGGAAUGCGUAGAGAUCCGGAAGAACACCAGUGGCGAAGGCGGCUCGCUGGGCUCUUGCUGACACUGAUGCGCGACAGCGUGGGGAGCAAACAGG